rnacentral:rRNA from 1 species
AUUGAACGCUGGCGGCAGGCCUAACACAUGCAAGUCGAACGAGUGGCGGACGGGUGAGUAAUGUCUGGGAAACUGCCCGUUGGAGGGGGAUAACUACUGGCAACGGUCGCUAAUACCGCAUACCCUCGGAUUUGCCCAUCGGGGAUUAGCUAGUAGGUGGGGUAAUGGCUCACCUAGGCGAGGAUCCCUAGCUGGUCGGAGAGGCUGACGAGCCACACUGGAGCUGAGAAACGUGCCAGGCUCGUACGGGAGGCGAAAGUGGGGAGUAGUGGACAAUGGGGACAGUCUGGAGGAAGCACUGCCGGGUGGAUGAAGAAGGCCUUGGGGUUGUAAGGUAGUUGCAGCGAGGAGGCGUUACUCGCAGAGAAAGCACCGGCUAACUACGUGCCAGCAGCCGCGGUAAUUC